rnacentral:rRNA from 1 species
GAUGAACGCUGGCGGCGUGCCUAACACAUGCAAGUCGAGCGAACCCUUCGGGGUGAGCGGCGGACGGGUGAGUAACGCGUGGGUAACCUGCCCUGUACACACGGAUAACAUACCGAAAGGUAUGCUAAUACGAGAUAAUAUAUUUUAAUCGCCUGGUUAAGAUAUCAAAGCUCCGGCGGUACAGUAUGGAACCGCGUCUGAUUAGCUAGUUGGGGAGGUAAUGGCUCACCAAGGCGACGAUCAGUAGCCGACCUGAGAGGGUGAUCGGCCACACUGGAACUGAGACACGGUCCAGACUCCUACGGGAGGCAGCAGUGGGGAAUAUUGCACAAUGGGCGAAAGCCUGAUGCAGCAACGCCGGGUGAGCGAUGAAGGCCUUCGGGUCGUAAAGCUCUGUCCUCAAGGAAGAUAAUGACGGUACUUGAGGAGGAAGCCACGGCUAACUACGUGCCAGCAGCCGCAGUAA